GAUGAACGUUGGCGGCGUGCCUAAUACAUGCAAGUCGAACGAAGACUGUAGUAAUACUGUCUUAGUGGCGAACGGGUGAGUAACGCGUGGGUGACCUGCCCCGAAGUGUGGGAUAACAGUCCGAAAGGAUUGCUAAUACUGCAUAAUAUCCAAGAGAUUAGAUGCUUUUGGAUUAAAGGAGUAAUUCGCUUCGGGAGGGGCCCGCGUCCCAUCAGCUAGUUGGUAAGGUAAUGGCUUACCAAGGCGAUGACGGGUAGGGGACCUGAGAGGGUGGCCCCCCACAAUGGAACUGAAACACGGUCCAUACACCUACGGGUGGCAGCAGUAGGGAAUAUUAGUAAUGGGCGAAAGCCUGAACUAGCAACGCCGCGUGUGCGAAGAAGGCCUUCGGGUCGUAAAGCACUUUUGUAGAGGAUGAGGAAGGACGGUACUCUCAGAAUAAGUCUCGGCUAACUACGUGCCAGCAGCCGCGGUAGUCAUACUCGUA
rnacentral:rRNA from 1 species